rnacentral:rRNA from 1 species
UGAGGAACAUGACCUUCGGCGGGGGAGUAGCCGGCCCAACGGCCGGGUAAUACCGCGUACGACCACAUGGGGACAUCCCUGAGUGGUGAAAGCAGCAAUGCGCCGAUGGAGUGCCUCGCGGCCUAUCAGCUAGUUGGUGGGGUAACGGCUCACCAAGGCAGCGACGGGUAGCUGGUCUGAGAGGAUGGCCGGCCACAUUGGGACUGAGACACGGCCCAGACUCCUAGGGACGG